CACUACUCCCACCACCAACGUUAACACCCCACUACUCCCUCCCACUACACCCACUACACCCACCCCACUACUCCCACUUUUUUUUAAAAAAAAACAAUCACACUUCUACACGUUAAUACCUCCACUUCGAUCAGUGUAUGCCGUUCUCAGUUUUAUUUUUAUUUCUUUCGGUCUUGUUUUCAUGAAGAUAAUCUUCUAACUUUUGCAACCCUUUCCUGCAACAACAAUUUGGCAGAAGAACUCCCAAAAUUCAAUUCCUCAAGGUUUUACCUUUCACCUCCUUUACUUGUUUCUUUAUAUUCAACAUCACAGCAGGAUAAAUUCACAAACGAAUAUACACACAUUCAUUAAAGCACCAGUAAAUUCAUCACAUCAUUUUUUUUUGUAAAGAUUGUAAAAAUACGAACUUUUUAAGUUGUGUAUACAAAUGAAAAUACAAGUUAUUGUAUAUUAAGAAAGCAUGAAAAUUUCGAACUUGAGCUUGGAUUGUUGAAUGUUGAUUAUUGGGGGUGUACUUGCUGUGUGUGAGUCGAGAGGUCGAGGGAGGCAGGGCACGGCGGCUGUGCCGCUGCUGCUCGGCCACGGUUGGAGAGAAGGAGGUGGGCUGGUCGGAGCUGGUCUGGGUGGAGGGCUGAGCGGAGGACGACGGCGGCGGUGGUGGCAGUUUGGUGGCUGCUACUCGCUGGGAAUUUGAGGGCGGCGAUGGCGGUACCAUCGGCCAAGGUUGAGCCGAGGAGAGGGAGGAGCGUCGGCGGCGGCUCAGCUGCUGCCGAUCAGACCCAGGAGAGAGAGAGAUGGGAUUCGGAGUCACCGGUCGGCGGCAGCUUUUGUUGUUGCGUCGCCGGAGUCGGGGAAGAGAGCGGCUUCCGCUGCUCGUUGGCGGAAGUUAGAGAGAGAGGAGGCCGCUGCACGGCGGCUCUGCCCGCUGAUGUCGGGCGGUGACCGUGACGGCGGUUGCUGCCGCCGAGAGAGAGGGAGAAGAGGAGGGGCGUCGGGAGAGGGGCGCGGCGUGUGUUGGUUUGUGAGGUGGGGGAAGAGUGAGAGGGAGACUUGAGGUCGAAGGGAAGGAGAGAGGAGGCGGAGCCGCCGGCCUCCGGGGACGGUGCUGCCGUCCGGUGGCGGCGGCGGGAGAGGCAGAGAGCGAGAGAGAGUGAGCGGCCGAGAGGGAGAGAGAGAUGUGUUGUGUGCGUGAGAAUGAAGGAAGAGAGGGGAAAUAGGGUAGAGUGUUGGGCUUUGAGGCUUGGGCCAGUUGGGCCGAUUUUUUUUCAUUUUUUUUUAUUUCAGUUGGGCUUCUUUUGGGCCGGUUUUCUUUUGAUUUAAUUUAUCAGCUGGGCCUUUAUUUUAAUUGCUUGGGCUGUAAAAUUUUAAGAACUAGCCCUACAUUGGGUACCAUAAUAUAAUUAAUUAAACUAUUAAUUAGUUUAAUUAAUUUAUUCAAAGAAUAAUUUGCAUAAUAAUAUUAAAUUAUUAUUAUGUGCAUAUUUUAAGUAAAUUACUUAUUAUAUGCUAAGCAUGACAUGAUUUGCAUUAUAUUUUGCAAUAAAAAUAUUUAUGAUCUAAUUGGUUUUAUUUAUAAUUCCAAUUAUUAAGAAAAUGAGUAAGAAUAUUGUUGGUGUCCUUAACUCAAGAAAAUAUUUUCAAUUAUUAUUCAUUAAAUUUUGAAAACCCGGCUAAUAAAUCAUAGAAAUUAAGCACACACCAUGACUUAAGAUUAGCUUCACGAGACCUAUUAAGAAUAGAAUUUCUUGUAGGCUUUGUGACCAGGGGGAUUAGCGCUGCUUUCCCAAGACAGGUUUAUAUGUGAUUAUGAUCUUCAGGCUUUGCCUAACCAGGUGGGCUUACUUUCCAAAUGUACAAAGUAUGAUUGAGUUAUUAAGCUCUAAAUGUUUCAAUGAAAUGCAAAUUAUUUAUUCAAUGAAAUGAAAACUGUUUAUCCAAUAAAAUAUUUUGUGCACUCUGCUCCGUUUAAGGCUCGCAAUAAAUGAAUCGAUCGAGGUUCUCUCUUGACCUAACACGUUAUUUGAGAAUUGUGUACACCUAUUAGCUGACUCGGUGGGUUGAUCUCCAUUCGGGCACUAAUCAUGUAUGUAUGAGGCGUUAUAAGGGUGCUCGACGGGAUGUGUUCCGGAGCAUUGGGUCCCAAAUGGGAACUUGACUGGGUUACGCCCUCAGUUCAAGUAAGAAGGAGAAAUGGAUCCGUCGGUGGCUAAAAGGUCCGGGAUCACAGCGAGUAACGGAAAGGGAGUGUGACAUGUGCGCACAAAUGAAAGAAAAUAUUUUAGCAUGCUUAGAAGUUAUUUCGUUUUAAAACCUUCUAAGUUAUGUAAAUUAUGAUUGGAUAAACUGUCUUUACGAAAAUAUGAAAUGUUUAUGAAAAUGCAUGCCCACUGAGUACAUUAGUACUUAGCCCAAAAAUACUUUCAAAUGUUUUCAGGUUGGCUGGCCGGUGCUGACGGGAC
rnacentral:lncRNA from 1 species